rnacentral:rRNA from 1 species
GGGGGAUAACAUCCGGAAACGGGUGCUAAUACCGCAUAGUUUCUUGAUCGCAUGAUCGGGAAGGAAAGACGGCCUUUGUGCUGUCGCUUAUGGAUGGACCCGCGGCGUAUUAGUUAGUUGGUGAGGUAACGGCUCACCAAGACGAUGAUACGUAGCCGACCUGAGAGGGUGAUCGGCCACAUUGGGACUGAGACACGGCCCAAACUCCUACGGGAGGCAGCAGUAGGGAAUCUUCCGCAAUGGACGAAAGUCUGACGGAGCAACGCCGCGUGAGUGAAGAAAAGGUUUUCGGAUCGUAAAACUCUGUUGUCAGAGAAGAACAAGUUGGAGAGUAACUGCUCCAGCCUUGACGGUAUCUGACCAGAAAGCCACGGCUAACUACGUGCCAGCCGCAGC